rnacentral:lncRNA from 1 species
UGAGUGCCCAAGAGGAGGGUGUGCCAAAAAGAUCUCGCUGGCAGCGGAGCAGCUGGCCUCUGCUGCUAAUUCAGAUUGGCUGGCCCAGGAGGAUCCUAAUUACAGCACAACUGCUGUCUCCAUAAUCACUGCGGCAGGAGCCGUGCGGGCCAGAAGGCACUGAAAGGGACCUGGAUGCGGCAGCAGGAGGUACGGGGGCUGCUGCUUUCCGUCCUAGCCACUGAGUAGCACAGAGUCUACCAGAUGUCAGGGAGGAAGAAAUGGGUCAUCCUCAGAGCAGGCUUGUGCAAAUAAUGUCAUUGGCUGCCUGUGUGAGCGAUGGGAUUGCACAGAUAGGCUCAAGGAUAUCCUACUGACGGGGUUUGUGGGGAAAGCACUAGAAAUGUGGUGAGCCUACUCAGGUGUCAGGGGCUGAUUUGCUGAGCAGCAGCUAAUUGUGUGGCUGAUGGGAGCAACAAAAGCUGUCCAGGCAACUCCUGGUAAAGUGCUGUGGCUGUGUCAGACGUUUCCUGUGUGCCAGUAAGGAUGGCCACUUGCCCACCUGCACCUGCUGCUGACACGAAAUCAAAAGAAUGGAGCUUCUUUCCUCCUUGUUACGAGAUUUGAGGUACCACCUCUACCAACAUACACUGAUGUGGCUCCCAGCAGAGCUGGUCUGGACCCAAGUCUCUCUGAAAUGCAAGCAGUAAACAGGAAUAAGAGAGCAUGGGGUGCGUCUGCAGUGACAAAUGUGAGAUGCUCACAGCUGGCAAGUUGUGUACCACAGUCCAGAAAAAGCUGUUGCCAUUGCUGGAGGACACAUCUGGGAGAACAGACCACGCAGGCUUUAUGCUCUGACCUGCAUUUGAGGUGCUUGUUAACGUCCUGUCUCCUUGUGACACCAGCUCAGGGAAUCCUACCAGCCUGCUGCCUCCAGGAAAGGGCUGGAGGAGAGGGUUGUGUGCUCUGCGUCAGGCUGCUCCUGCUGCACUCCAUCUGCCUUGCUUAGCUGGAGCGUUCAUUGUCAAAAGCCCUCCUGAUAGAAAACAUUCUGGCUGUAAUGAAGUAUCCACAGAGAUUAAUACAGGAUUUGUUACCUAAACAUCUCCCAAAACCACAGUACUGACUUCUGUGUCCUAAUUGUCCCGCAUCUGUUUCCAGCCUCAGAAUAUUACCUUUUAGGUAAAGGAGCUGAUGUAACCAAGCUGUCUCUUGGCAUCCAUUGCUUACUAAUGCGGCUUUUGCAUUGUUCAUGAGCUAAGGAAAUAACAUUGUGCUUUAAAGGUCCGAGGAAGCUCGGGACAGUCUGUGUUCUCUAUGACUGUAUACCUUCAGAGAGCAUUUGCAAUCCUUGUA